rnacentral:rRNA from 1 species
GACGAACGCUGGCGGCGUGCCUAAUACAUGCAAGUUGAGCGCUGAAGGUUGGUACUUGUACCAACUGGAUGAGCAGCGAACGGGUGAGUAACGCGUGGGGAAUCUGCCUUUGAGCGGGGGACAACAUUUGGAAACGAAUGCUAAUACCGCAUAAAAACUUUAAACACAAGUUUUAAGUUUGAAAGAUGCAAUUGCAUCACUCAAAGAUGAUCCCGCGUUGUAUUAGCUAGUUGGUGAGAUAAAGGCUCACCAAGGCGAUGAUACAUAGCCGACCUGAGAGGGUGAUCGGCCACAUUGGGACUGAGACACGGCCCAAACUCCUACGGGAGGCAGCAGUAGGGAAUCUUCGGCAAUGGACGAAAGUCUGACCGAGCAACGCCGCGUGAGUGAAGAAGGUUUUCGGAUCGUAAAACUCUGUUGGUAGAGAAGAACGUUGGUGAGAGUGGAAAGCUCAUCAAGUGACGGUAACUACCCAGAAAAGGACGGCUAACUACGU